rnacentral:rRNA from 1 species
GUGGAUGAGGCAUGCAAGUCGAACGGUUCAAGUAGCAAUACUUGAAUAGUGGCGGAAGGGUUAGUAAUACAUGGGUAACUUGCCUUUAACUGUGGAAUAACGGUUGGAAACGACCGCUAAUACCACAUGUGGUGAUACAGGGCAUCCUGUUUUCAUUAAAGUAGGGGAUUCGUAAGAACCUUGCGGUUAAAGAGAGGCCCAUGGGAUAUCAGCUAGUUGGUGUGGUAAGAGCACACCAAGGCUAAGACGUCUAGGCGGAUUGAGAGAUUG